rnacentral:rRNA from 1 species
AUUGAACGCUGGCGGCAGGCCUAACACAUGCAAGUCGAACGGUAACAGGAAGAAGCUUGCUUCUUUGCUGACGAGUGGCGGACGGGUGGGUAAUGUCUGGGAAACUGCCUGAUGGAGGGGGAUAACUACUGGAAACGGUAGCUAAUACCGCAUAACGUCGCAAGACCAAAAAGGGGGACCUUCUGGCCUCUUGCCAUCGGCUGCGCCCAGAUGGGAUUAGCUAGUAGGUGGGGUAACGGCUCACCUAGGCGACGAUCCCUAGCUGGUCUGAGAGGAUGACCAGCCACACUGGAACUGAGACACGGUCCAGACUCCUACGGGAGGCAGCAGUGGGGAAUAUUGCACAAUGGGCGCAAGCCUGAUGCAGCCAUGCCGCGUGUAUGAAGAAGGCCUUCGGGUUGUAAAGUACUUUCAGCGGGGAGGAAGGGAGUAAAGUUAAUACCUUUGCUCAUUGACGCUACCCGCAGAAGAAGCACCGGCUAACUCCGUG